GUAUGCACUGGCGUAAACAUCAUGGAUUUUGUGCAACUGUUUUCAGAAAUCCUUCUAGGAAUCUGAUCACAAGCAGUCGUUUCUGUCUUGGAGCUGUCAGAAACUCUUCAGAAAUGCCAGAGAAGAAUACAGAGAAGUUGGGAUUUCCUCAGGUCCUGAGUCCACUCACCCAGAUGUCACUUCUGGUCUACCUAAGCUUAUGUUUUGGGUUCUUCUUGUGCUUUAGCUUUGCUUAAAUUUUGUUAAAUGUUUGUAUUUACUGAUGUCCAUCUCAGUCUAUCUUGUUUUCAAGAUGCCUUUUUGAUAAGAUUGCUUAACUGUGUAUAUUUGGUUUGGGUUUGGGUUCUCUUGUCUAAAGCCUACUUUCAAAGCCUGGAAGAGAGGGAGUCAACCAUCUUCCAGUUCAUUCUUCUCUAUCAAACAAUCUAAUAAAUUGCUUUCUAAAACUA